GAUGAACGCUGGCGGCGUGCCUAAUACAUGCCAGUCGAGCGAACAGACGAGGAUCUUGCUCCUCUGACGUUAGCGGCGGACGGGUGAUUAACACGUGGAUAACCUACCUAUAAGACUGGGAUAACUUCGGGAAACCGGAUCUCAUACCGGAUAAUAUAUUGAACCGCAUGGUUCAUUAGUGAAAGACGGUUUUGCUGUCACUUAUAGAUGGAUCCUCGCCGCAUUAGCUAGUUGGUAAGGUAACGGCUUACCAAGGCUACGAUGCGUAGCCGACCUGAGAGGGUGAUCGGCCACACUGGAACUGAGACACGGUCCAGACUCCUACGGGAGGCAGCAGUAGGGAAUCUUCCGCAAUGGGCGAAAGCCUGACGGAGCAACGCCGCGUGAGUGAUGAAGGUCUUCGGAUCGUAAAACUCUGUUAUUAGGGAAGAACAAAUGUGUAAGUAACUAUGCACGUCUUGACGGUACCUAAUCAGAAAGCCACGGCUAACUACGUG
rnacentral:rRNA from 1 species